UACGUAGGUGGCAAGCGUUGUCCGGAUUUAUUGGGUUUAAAGGGUGCGUAGGCGGUUUUUUAAGUCUGUGGUGAAAUACGGCAGCUCAACUGUCGAGGUGCCAUUGAUACUGGGAAACUUGAGUACUGAUGAGGUAGGCGGAAUGGACGGUGUAGCGGUGAAAUGCUUAGAUAUCGUCCAGAACACCGAUAGCGAAGGCAGCUUACUAAGGAGUAACUGACGCUGAGGCACGAAAGUGUGGGGAUCAAACAGG
rnacentral:rRNA from 1 species